AUCCCCAUCUAUCUAUAUAUAUCGCUGCUAUUGUGAUCCGAUUACUCCUGUGAUUUGCGAAGUAAUUUAUAAGAACUGCUACAUCUUGUCGCUGUUGACGUGGUGACUCAAUCAAUAUUAUUUUGGCUGCUAGUUUGAUUGGAGAGUUCCUGUUUGGAUAAUAAUUUAAUAUUGCUUGAUUCAUCGUGAGAGUUGCUGGUUUGUUUGCCGUGGCUGCUAGCUCAGAUUAUUGUAGCACUAUCUUUCUUUGGUCAAGAUUGGUCGUGGUGUUACCGCUGUUAGCUAGUAAAUUCAUAUAUCUUAAAUUUGAAUUGCUAGCCUGAAGACAGAUUGAUAUAUCUUUACGGAUCCAAGGAUUGAUUCAGACAAGCUUCUUCUUAUAUUCAGAAAAUAUUCAGAGUACACAAUAUUUUAUUUUCAAAUAGUUGAACAGCUUGACCUUUGUUGGCGAACAAUUGUUUCUGUACUGUGAAAGAUCGGGCCAACUCUAGGGUAGCGUAGGCGUGUCCUUAUCACUUAAAUAGCGUAUAUUUAAGUUGUUGCAGUCAAAAAGCUCGUAGUUGGACCUUGUGCCGGGUCGGCCGGUCCGCCUCACGGCGAGAACCGACCUACUCGACCCUUUUGCCGGUGAUGCGCUCCUGGCCUUAAUUGGCCGGGUCAUGCCUCCGGCGCUGUUACUUUGAAGAAAUUAGAGUGCUCAAAGCAAGCCAUCGCUCUGGAUACAUUAGCAUGGGAUAACAUCAUAUGAUUCCGGUCCUAUUGUGUUGGCCUUCGGGAUCGGAGUAAUGAUUAAUAGGGACAGUCGGGGGCAUUCAUAUUUCAUAGUCAGAGGUGAAAUUCUUGGAUUUAUGAAAGAUGAACAACUGCGAAAGCAUUUGCCAUGGAUGUUUUCAUUAAUCAAGAACGAAAGUUGGGGGCUCAAAGAUGAUCAGAUACCAUCCUUGUCUCAACCAUAAACGAUGCCGACCAGGGAUCGGCGGAUGUUGCUUAUAGGACUCCGCCGGCACCUUAUGAGAAAUCAAAGUCUUUGGGUUCCGGGGGGAGUAUGGUCGCAAGGCUGAAACUUAAAGGAAUUGACGGAAGGGCACCACCAGGCGUGGAGCCUGCAGCUUAAUUUGACUCAACACGGGGAAACUUACCAGGUCCAGACAUAGCAAGGAUUGACAGACUAAGAGCUCUUUCUUGAUUCUAUGGGUGGUGGUGCAUGACCGUUCUUAGUUGGUGGAGCGAUUUGUCUAGUUAAUUCCGUUAACGAAUGAGACCUCAGCCUGCUAACUAGCUAUGUGGAGCCAUCCCUCCACAACUAGCUUCUAGAGGGACUAUGGCCGUUUAGGCCACGGAAGUUUGAGGAAAUAACAGGUCUGUGAUGCCCUUAGAUGUUCUGGGCCGCGCGCGCGCUACACUGAUGUAUUCAACGAGUAUAUAGCCUUGGCCGACAGACCUGGGUAAUCUUGGGAAAUUUCAUCGUGAUGGGGAUAGAUCAUUACAAUUGUUGGUCUUCAAUGAGGAAUGCCUAGUAAGCGUGAGUCAUCAGCUCGCGUUGACUACGUCCCUGCCCUUUGUACCUAGUACCCGUUGCACGGGAAGUUGCAUUCGGUUACAUGUUGUUUACCUCGAGCACAUCCUCUGGGUGUGGCUCGUCGGCUCUAGAGCGCCCGUGGCGUUGCCUCGUGCUGCUGUCC
rnacentral:rRNA from 1 species